rnacentral:lncRNA from 1 species
UUGCUUUCGUGCCUCAGCCUCUGUGCGUAAAAGAAGCACGUUUUACACAGAUGUGCUUGGAGUGCUGAAUGCCUGAUUGCUGCUGGUGAAAGCUGACCAGUUACACACCAGCUCCAGCUGCAAGCUGAGUUGCCAAAUUAGCACAGAUCUGGCCCUGGGCCACCACCAUGACUCUGAGAGCAAAGUGGGCAUGUAUUCCUGCACAGCCACUUCUCAAACAGCCCCUGUGAGUAAUGCUGAUGGCAUUGUUUCUCUCCUGCUUCCCACUCUGUCACAUGUGCUGACAGGUGCUGGGCCUGGGCAGGUGGCUGCAUGCAGGCAGGUGAUCUUUCCCUGCUGUGGAAGCCUGGUAGCCCAGCAGGCUGUUUGGCUGCCCAGUGCACCUGGACCAACAGUAUUUUGGGUAGGCUGUGGAGGAAGGACUCCCCACGCUGCUUUCUGGGAUAAAACAAUGGUCUGGGCAAUGAACCACACAUCUCUGCUCUUCCGCCUCAGGCCUGCCCGCUGGAGAGGCCACAGCAUCCACAGUUCUCCACCAGAGGGGAAAGUGGGACCGGCGGAGACAAUCAUUGGAUUCUCAGCAUUUUCACUGGCAGUUCUUGGACCAGCUGGAUGGUUCCUGUACCACCUUCCAAGCUAUAAAAUGGAAUAAAAAACAUCCCUUUGAAAUUAAGAUCUGGAAGCUGUGAUAAGCUGUAGUACACCUGACUUAGAAUCUCUUGAAGGGGAGAAUACAGGGAAUUGAGGGCCAGUUUUAAACAAACUGACUGAAAAAUGAGUUCAAGUUUUAUGUUUUGCUUCUGAAUGAAAAAUAAAAAAGGUUCACAUAGAAAAUAUGACUAAAUA